CCUUGUACACACCGCCCGUCAAGCGAUGGGAGCCGGGAGCACCCGAAGUCGGUGUACCAACCCGCAAGGGAGGGAACCGCCGAAGGUGAGACCGGUGACUGGCGCU
rnacentral:rRNA from 1 species